ACGCUUUAGCAACACAAAUAUUAAAAUGCAAGCAGUACAGAGAUUAGUGUGGCACCUAUGCAAGGAUGAUGUGCAGAUUUGUGAAACAUUCCAUAUUUAG
rnacentral:snRNA from 1 species